AAUCGAUUUUUUAUUUGAAGAGACCAACACCCUCAGUCCCUUACUUAAACUCCUCCUCUUACUUUGUCUUAUUAUUCUUCAAACAAAUCAUUACUAAAACAAUAUUGCAGUCAAUGUUAAGCUUUCAUGGCCUUCCUCUCUGUAUUUCCGGCAUUACCCACCAUUUUUCCCGGUUUAAAGAUAGUGUUGCAGAGCAUGAAAGAAGAAGAGAAGCCGUGAAAGCCUUUGUUCGAGCUAAUGAAGAAAUGGGUUUUCGAGUAAACAUCGAAGCGAUGGUCGAAGAAUCCAUGGGAGCUGACGUUAAUGGAGAUCGAGCUUUGGAUUUGAAGGAUCUGUCGUGCAAUACUGGCUUGGUUUCUACAGCGAAUGCUGGGUAGUUUUUGGUAAAAAUAUCAUGGAAGCCCUUAUACUAGGUUUUAAAUUUCAUUUUAUCCCCUCUACUUAAUAAGUAGAUAAAUUAAUCCUUAUACAUUAGAUCAAAUAGUAAAUUUUUUUUAUUAAAAAUUUCAUCUGUUUCUACUAUUAAAAAUUGCCAUGGUUGACAGAGUAAUUAAACAGUAAAACAUAAUGUGCCACAUGUACGUUAUGCUAACAUACAUGGAUCAAUUUUUAACAAUAUAGCUUAUUUACUCUUUAAUCUAACUAUAGGGACUAAUUUAUCCAUAUUUUAAGUAGAGGGUACAAAAUAUAAUCUAAUUUUUAGUAUAAGAGCACCAUGGUACUUUUAAGGUAGUUUUUUUUUUGAAUUAAAAGGUUAAAAUUGCUUUUAAUCCCUGUAUUUUGACAAUGUUUGUGAAUCGAUAAAUGUAUUUAGGAAUAA